CCCAUUUACUAGCCAGCUAGGCUAGCUGAGAGAUAGACAGUAAAGGGGACAACUUGCCAUGAGAACUGUGAUGGGACUUGCGGGGCGCUGGGCAAGCCUCGAGGGGGUUUCUGACCCAGCCUGGGGGCUAGGGGGCGUUAAAGGGCUUCCCGAGAAGAUACCGAAGAAAAGGCCUAAAGGAGCGAGGAGCUCCAAGCCCCCAGGAGCGGUGGGCGAGGCACGCUGGGAAGCGUCGAUCUGUAUUCCGCGGCGACGAGGAGAUGCCGCCGAGCGCGUUAGAACCGGAAAGAGCAGAUCUGCGAUGUCUGUGAUAUCUGGAGGAUGGAAUCCAUGCAGCUGAAAUGGUGUUUAUCAGCAAGAAGGGGCUCGGUAUAAAAUAGUAAUCUCUACCCUUAAUGUGGGGCUGAGCUCAUGACCCGGACUCAUGACCCUGACAUCAAGAAUUCCGUGCUCUACUGGGACGCCUGGGUGGCUCAGCGGUUGAGCGUCUGUGAGACCCCGGUGAUCCUGGGGUUCUGGGAUGGAGUCCCUCAUCAAGUUCCCUGU